UAUAGAGACACAGAACUUCAGAUCCAAGUACUAACAUCAAAGAUUUCAAGCAAGGAAAGGAAGCCAGGUUGAAAGAAGAAGCGGAAGGAGGCAGGAGAGAGGGGGCAAAAGGGGUGGCCUUAAAGACGUCUCCUGCCACCUACAGAUGCCCUGGCAUUAUGGGACUUUUCCCUGGGCCUCCAGAGAAGGGAGGACUGGGACUUGGCCCUACCAGAAAUCAGACCAGACCAGAACCAGAAUUCGAGUUCUCUGCCAAGACGAGGUGAUCAGUCUCCAAUCUUCAGUUCAGGCUGAGGGUCCUUUGACCAGAUUCCUGCGUCCAGGACUGGGGAACUAGAAAAACAGGGGAGGAUAGGAAGGGUUAAGGAGAGGAAAGAGAGAGGGAACGGGAGAGAGGCUACUAUCUUUACAGUCCUCUUAAAUUAGGUAAUAAGUCCUGUUUUCCAAUUUUAAAUCAAUAAUUUUAUGAGGAAAAUAGUUUUUAAUUAGUAUUAUUAUCUAGUUUUCAAGUAUCCUGCACCUUGCAGAAACUUCGAAAUAAUAUUUAUAGCACUACCUUCCAGUUACUGAAAUAAAAAGUAUGAUUGCUGGGCUUUUUAACUUUAAGUUUUAUUUUAUAUUAGAGUAUACCGCUAGUUCCACCUGGCUUUCCGGGUGUUGCUAAUGGUAAAGAAUCUGCCUGCCAAUGCUGGAGACCUAAGCAACUGCGGUUUGAUCCCUGGGGCAGCAAGAUAGCCAGGAGGAGGAAACUGCAACACAAGCAGUACUCUUGCCUGGAGAGUCCCAUGGACAGACCAGCCUGGUGGGCGACAGUCUAUAUGGUCACAAAGAGGUGGACAUGACUGAAGUGACUUAACACAUAAUUGAUUUGCACAAAGUAGUGCUGUUUCAGGUGUACAGUGAAGUGAUUCAGUCAUACAUAUACAUAUAUCCAUUACUUUACAUUGCUUUUUUUUUCUAGUUUUGUUUUAUUUUGGUUUACUAACUAGAAGGACUUAUUAUUGAGUCAGAAUGUUAGAAAAGUAACAUUUAGCCCAUAUAAAGAGGACAAAGUAAAAAAUUUUUUAGGGAGG
rnacentral:lncRNA from 1 species